AGUGAACGCUGGCGGUAGGCCUAACACAUGCAAGUCGAACGGCAGCACAGUAAGAGCUUGCUCUUACGGGUGGCGAGUGGCGGACGGGUGAGGAAUACAUCGGAAUCUACUUUUUCGUGGGGGAUAACGUAGGGAAACUUACGCUAAUACCGCAUACGACCUACGGGUGAAAGCAGGGGAUCUUCGGACCUUGCGCGAUUGAAUGAGCCGAUGUCGGAUUAGCUAGUUGGCGGGGUAAAGGCCCACCAAGGCGACGAUCCGUAGCUGGUCUGAGAGGAUGAUCGGCCACACUGGAAGUGGAACACGGUCCAGACUACUAAGGGAGGCAGCAGUGGGGAAUAUUGGACAAUGGGCGCAAGCCUGAUCCAGCCAUACCGCGUGGGUGAAGAAGGCCUUCGGGUUGUAAAGCCCUUUUGUUGGGAAAGAAAAGCAGCAGGUUGAGACCCAGCUGUUCUGACGGUACCCAAAGAAUAAGCACCGGCUAACUUCGUG
rnacentral:rRNA from 1 species